rnacentral:snRNA from 1 species
AUCGCUUCUGCGCCUUUUCGGCUAAGAUCAAAGUGUAGUAUCUGUUCUCGUCGGUUUGAAAGCCGGCGCUGGUCUCAUUGAGGCCAGGCUCUUUCAAGCAGAUUUUUGGACAUCGGUCGGGAUCAUCCGAGUUACACUUGGACCCGGACCAUGGAUCGUCUCGACACUGCAGUGCCGUCGAGUUUGGUCCACUCCCG